AAUCAACGCUGGCGGCGUGCCUAACACAUGCAAGUCGAACGCGAAAGGGGCUUCGGCCCUGAGUAGAGUGGCAAACGGGUGAGUAACGCGUGGGUGACCUACCCUCGAGCGGGGGAUAACGUCCCGAAAGGGGCGCUAAUACCGCAUGACAUCCCGCUCUUGGACGGGCGGAGAUCAAAGCCGGGGAUCGCAAGACCUGGCACUCGAGGAGGGGCCCACGUCCGAUUAGCUGGUUGGCGGGGUAACGGCCCACCAAGGCUCCGAUCGGUAGCCGGCCUGAGAGGGCGGACGGCCACACUGGGACUGAGACACGGCCCAGACUCCUACGGGAGGCAGCAGUGGGGAAUUGUUCGCAAUGGGCGCAAGCCUGACGACGCAACGCCGCGUGGAGGAUGAAGAUUUUCGGAUCGUAAACUCCUGUCGAACGGAACGAACGGCCCGGCCGUGAACAGCGGCCGGGAGUGACGGUACCGUGAGAGGAAGCCCCGGCUAACUCCGUG
rnacentral:rRNA from 1 species